rnacentral:rRNA from 1 species
ACGCUCGACACCUACGGGAGACAGCAGUGGGGAAUAUUGGGCAAUGGGCGAAAGCCUGACCCAGCAACGCCGCGUGAGGGAAGAAGGUUUUCGGAUUGUAAACCUCUGUCCUCAGGGACGAAGGACGUGACGGUACCUGAGGAGGAAGCCCCGGCUAACUACGUGCCAACAGCCGCGGUAAUCUGAGCGGGCUGGCAAGGC